rnacentral:rRNA from 1 species
AAUAGAUACCCAGGUAGUCCACGCCGUAAACGAUGAGUGCUAAGUGUUAGGGGGUUUCCGCCCCUUAGUGCUGCAGCGAACGCAUUAAGCACUCCGCCUGGGGAGUACGGUCGCAAGACUGAAACUCAAAGGAAUUGACGGGGGCCCGCACAAGCGGUGGAGCAUGUGGUUUAAUUCGAAGCAACGCGAAGAACCUUACCAGGUCUUGACAUCCCGCUGACCGCUAUGGAGACAUAGCUUUCCCUUCGGGGACAGCGGUGACAGGUGGUGCAUGGUUGUCGUCAGCUCGUGUCGUGAGAUGUUGGGUUAAGUCCCGCAACGAGCGCAACCCUUGUCCUUAGUUGCCAUCAUUCAGUUGGGCACUCUAAGGAGACUGCCGUACAAAUACGGAGGAAGGUGGGGAUGACGUCAAAUCAUCAUGCCCCUUAUGACCUGGGCUACACACGUGCUACAAUGGACGGUACAAACGGUUGCGAAGUCGCGAGACGGAGCCAAUCCGAGAAAGCCGUUCUCAGUUCGGAUUGCAGGCUG